rnacentral:rRNA from 1 species
UGGGGGAUAUUGCACAAUGGGCGAAAGCCUGAUGCAGCGACGCCGCGUGGGGGAUGAAGGCCUUCGGGUUGUAAACUUCUUUUGCUCUGAACAAGGCAUGCUAAUGGGUGUGUUGAGUGUAGGGGUUGAUUAGCGCCGGCUAACUACGUGCCAGCAGCCGCGGUAAUACGUAGGGCGCGAGCGUUGUCCGGAAUUAUUGGGCGUAAAGGGCUUGUAGGUGGCUGGUUGCGUCUGUCGUGAAAGCUCAUGGCUUAACUGUGGGUUUGCGGUGGGUACGGGCUGGCUUGAGUGCAGUAGGGGAGGCUGGAAUUCCUGGUGUAGCGGUGGAAUGCGCAGAUAUCAGGGGGAAUACCGGUGGCGAAGGCGGGUCUCUGGGCUGUUACUGACACUGAGGAGCGAAAGCAUGGGGAGCGAACAGG